CCCCGGCGAGGGCGAGGGCGAGGGCGCGGGGGCCCGCAGCAGCCAGGCCGCGGUGGUGUCGAGCUCCGCGGGAAGGCGGCAGGAGCAGGUCGACGGCCGGCAGGCAGGACAGGCCAGGAGCGGUGGGGAAGGAGCGCGGCCGAGGGAGAAGGGGAAGCGAGAGGCUCGGAGGCCCUCCGCCCCGCCGACUCCCCUGGAAGUUCACUCCCGCGCGGGGGGCGCGCCGCAACGGAGCGCAUUAGCCCGGUCCAGGUUAUUCCGGAGGAAUGAGGUUUAGUUAAUAGACCGAAGGGACGGCCCUGAGCUGAGCUGCGGCGUGUGACUUCGGGGUGGGAAGAAAGAAAAAACCCAGUCUUAAUUUACAGACAAAGCCGGGCAGGCUCGUCCCCUUCUGCAGCCAUAAAAUAUCCCACCGGGUGCCCUUGGCCAGACUGAGACACGCUUUUUCGUGAUGGGCUCCUCCACCUCCUUCCUUUCAAGAGCCACUUUCAGGACACCUUGCAACAGAGUGAGGACCUACCUGCCGGUGCCCUGUCCUGCCCACCUAGCAGCCAGCAGAAGACAGGUUCAGCAGAUGAAACCUGGAAGUGACCCACAGAGACGGGAUUCCCCUCUUAUCCUGGGAAGCUGUGCAAUGCAGUCUCGCACUCUGUAAAGCAGAGGCAUGUGUUAAAUGCAACCACUGCAACUGCAGAGGCAAAGGGGCUUCCACACAGCUCGAGUCCCAGCUUUGUCUCCUUCGUUUGCCACGGGCCACGCCAGCAGGAAUGCCGUAGGACACGUAGCGUUAUCUAGACGCAGGUGAAUAUAACUACGAGCGUGUGCCGCCGAGUUCAGCGGUGAGACAGGUGAUGGAGGGUAGCCGCUGGGGGUGGGCGGUACGUGUUUCCUGCUCUGUGAUGAAGCAGAAGACCCCAGUCUGUGGGGAGUGUCACUCCUGAGCCGUUCAGUCAUCUAAGGAAGCGAUGCCGUGUCACCCAGCACCCGGGUUUCUUGGUGAAUGAAGCUGAAUGCAGAAGGGCCAUUGGCUUCUGUGAGCUGCAGCUGGCCCAGCCCCUCUGCCAGCGGUGUCCCUCCAGCCGGGGUUACCAGGGGCUGCCCCGGCGGCUGGGUUUGUUGGCA
rnacentral:lncRNA from 1 species